rnacentral:rRNA from 1 species
AUUGAACGCUGGCGGCAGGCCUAACACAUGCAAGUCGAACGGUAGCACAGAGAGCUUGCUCUCGGGUGACGAGUGGCGGACGGGUGAGUAACGUCUGGGAAACUGCCCGAUGGAGGGGGAUAACUACUGGAAACGGUAGCUAAUACCGCAUAACGUCGCAAGACCAGAGUGGGGGACCUUCGGGCCUCACACCAUCGGAUGUGCCCAGAUGGGAUUAGCUAGUAGGUGGGGUAAUGGCUCACCUAGGCGACGAUCCCUAGCUGGUCUGAGAGGAUGACCAGCCACACUGGAACUGAGACACGGUCCAGACUCCUACGGGAGGCAGCAGUGGGGAAUAUUGCACAAUGGGCGCAAGCCUGAUGCAGCCAUGCCGCGUGUAUGAAGAAGGCCUUCGGGUUGUAAAGUACUUUCAGCGGGGAGGAAGGCGGUGAAGUUAAUAGCUUCACCGAUUGACGUUACCCGCAGAAGAAGCACCAGCUAACUCCGUGCCAGCCGCCGCAGUAA